ACCUGGUUGGCUCAGUCGGUUGAGUGUCCGACUUCGGCUCAGGUCGUGAUCUCACACUUCGUGAGUUCAAGCCCCGCAUCAGGCU
rnacentral:tRNA from 1 species